GAUGAACGCUGGCGGCGUGCCUAAUACAUGCAAGUCGAGCGAACAGACGAGGAGCUUGCUCCUCUGACGUUAGCGGCGGACGGGUGAGUAACACGUGGAUAACCUACCUAUAAGACGGGGAUAACUUCGGGAAACCGGAGCUAAUACCGGAUAAUAUAUUUAACCGCAUGGUUCAAUAGUGAAAUACGGUUUUGCUGUCACUUAUAGAUGGAUCCCGGCCGCAUUGGCUAGUUGGGAAGGUAACGGCUUACCAAGGCAACGAUGCGUAGCCGACCUGAGAGGGUGAUCGGCCACACUGGAACGGAGCCACGGUCCAGACUCCUACGGGAGGCAGCAGUAGGGAAUCUUCCGCAAUGGGCGAAAGCAUGACGGAGCAAGGCCGCGUGAGUGAUGAAGGUCUUCGGAUCGUAAAAAUCUGUUAUUAGGGAAGAACAAAUGUGUAAGUAACUAUGCACGUAUUGACGGUACCUAAUCAGAAAGCCACGGCUAACUACGUG
rnacentral:rRNA from 1 species